GUCGAGCGGACAGAUGGGAGCUUGCUCCCUGAUGUUAGCGGCGGACGGGUGAGUAACACGUGGGUAACCUGCCUGUAAGACUGGGAUAACUCCGGGAAACCGGGGCUAAUACCGGAUGCUUGUUUGAACCGCAUGGUUCAAACAUAAAAGGUGGCUUCGGCUACCACUUACAGAUGGACCCGCGGCGCAUUAGCUAGUUGGUGAGGUAAUGGCUCACCAAGGCAACGAUGCGUAGCCGACCUGAGAGGGUGAUCGGCCACACUGGGACUGAGACACGGCCCAGACUCCUACGGGAGGCAGCAGUAGGGAAUCUUCCGCAAUGGACGAAAGUCUGACGGAGCAACGCCGCGUGAGUGAUGAAGGUUUUCGGAUCGUAAAGCUCUGUUGUUAGGGAAGAACAAGUACCGUUCGAAUAGGGCGGUACCUUGACGGUACCUAACCAGAAAGCCACGGCUAACUACGUGCCAGCAGCCGCGGUAAUACGUAGGUGGCAAGCGUUGUCCGGAAUUAUUGGGCGUAAAGGGCUCGCAGGCGGUUUCUUAAGUCUGAUGUGAAAGCCCCCGGCUCAACCGGGGAGGGUCAUUGGAAACUGGGGAACUUGAGUGCAGAAGAGGAGAGUGGAAUUCCACGUGUAGCGGUGAAAUGCGUAGAGAUGUGGAGGAACACCAGUGGCGAAGGCGACUCUCUGGUCUGUAACUGA
rnacentral:rRNA from 2 species